rnacentral:tRNA from 1 species
GUAGCUGUGGCCUAAUGGUUAGAGUGUUGAACUUGUAAUCCAAAGGUCACAACUUCGAGUCUUGGUACCAGCA